rnacentral:lncRNA from 7 species
UUUUUAAGGUAUUGAAGAGGUGUGAACACCGUCUGUGAUCUGAAGAGAAUGUCAGUGGAAAAUGAGAAAUUCUGGCAACACAGAGUAUCUAGCUGGACUGUGUCCCCGUGCAGAGAGGCUAUAUCCAGCCACUGGAUGUUUUCACAUAGAGAACAAACCCUCUUUUUCUUUGAAAGAACAUGAUGAUCCCAACUCCAGGUGACUCAUGCUCUCAUCCAGCCUGAACAAUCCUGCUAUGGAGAACCAGUAUUGCUGAGAAAAAUGUUGGCCCUGUGGUCCGGGCUGACCAGCACCAGGCUGCAGAAAGCCUGCAUAAAACUUCUGUGGGCUUCAGUGCUCAUUUGAGGGCUUAAAAGGUGCAAAGUCAGGGCAAGGCUUUUGAUGUUAGAUGACAGCUUGCUUUUAGGAGUGCCUAAUGGAGAGGGAUGGCUUCACAGACCAGCAGAUUACUCACUAGAUGCUGUUGUUUUACAACCCAUCUCUGUUCUAAAUGAAACUCUUGUUAUUGAAGUCCAUAUUCCAGUAGGCUUAGCAAGGGUUUGUAUCUAUUCCCAUUACUUUUUUCUGCCUUCCAUUUUUUUUUUCCUGUGGUUGGCUGUGGUUGGCACAGUGUGCCUUCUUCUUCCUUCACAAAAUUCUGGCAUUUUUUCAUGACCUCCACUUCUUGCUUUAUGUGUGCAUCUGGUUUCUCUGAAGCUCUGUGGUUUGCUCUGCCUUCCCUCCUCAAAGCACAGCUUUACAUACCAAGCGGUAGAGAACUCCGGAUGGAUUCAGUACAACAGGAGUACGGAGUGGUGUUCUUCUUUGGAUUUAAGAAAUAAGAUGGUGCCAUCGGUUCUGAUGGGUUUGUGAAUUUUCAGAACUAGGCUUGUAUCUGCACACUGUAUGUACCCAAUUUCCUGUGAAUGCAAAAAACACUGUAAUUGCCAUUAGAACCAUUUAUUGCAGUUCGGCAACAAGUAGGUAAUGCAGAUUAUUCAUUACAGAGUGGAAAAUGACAUGCAUUGACUUGUUGCUGCCUCAUAGAAGCCAGGCAGAAACGGUGGGGGCUUUGCAUGAAGGAGAUGACGUGGUCAUGAGUGAGCUGUGCAGGGCAGCGCUGCCUGAGAUUUACACUGCUGUGUGCCACCUGGCACUGCAGGCCUUCCUGAUAGCGCUCUUACAUUUAUUCCUGCUGCGCUAUGAACUAACAGACUGACUGGAAACUUCAACAAACCUUGCUGUGAGUUUCACAUUUCAAUUUUACUGCAGACUUCUCUUUUCUAGGUUUGUAUUAGCAGAGAAGCCAAUGGAAGCAAGUGCUUAGUGAGCAUUUGCAGAUGGGUAAUGGGUACAUUAUUUACGUUUCCCCUGUGGUUGUCUCAAGAAAUCAAUAUAAUCGCUUUGCAAUUAGUUCUGCCUCAGAUCUAUUGGAAAAAUUCCUAUCUGCAUGAUCACAGAUUUUCUCACAGUUCAUGGGAUUGUCCUGUUUGUUUUAUGUGGCACCUUCUGCACAAACAGAAUAAACUUUC